rnacentral:lncRNA from 1 species
AAGUCCUAUUUUGAGAGGAAAGGAAGCUUGUCAUCAGUCGCCAAUCGCCAUGAGAACGCACAGGGGGCACCAAAUGCAUCACAACAUUCUAAUGGUCAGCAGGCCAGUAACAUCCGACCGACCAAUGAAAUACCACCAGAAUCCUCCGUCCAUCUCACCAGUAGCACCUUCGACAUCGGCCAUCUCCCAUGACCAACAUAAUAGCCUCAUCUAACAAGUACAAGCCCUAUCAGCUGCAGUACGUGAGAUAUAACAAAAUAUGGAGCCUCCCCCUA